GAUCACUACCCCCUUCCAGUAUCCAGUAGUGGGUAUUCAGUUACUUACUAUUGUGUGUUGGUCGUUUACUGUGAGAAAAUUAGAGUGUUCAAAGCAGGCGUUUGCUUGAAUAGAUUAGCAUGGAAUAAUAAUUGAAGGCUUUCGUGUUCGAUUUGAUUGGUUUGUUCAUGGAAGCAAGGUUAAAAGGAACAGUUGGGGGUAUUCAUAUUCACUAGUUAGAGGUGAAAUUCUCGGAUUUAUGGAAGAUGAACAAGUGCGAAAGCAUUUACCAAGGAUGUUUUCAUUAAUCAAGAACGAAAGCUAGGGGAUCGAAGAGGAUUAGAUACCCUCGU
rnacentral:rRNA from 1 species